UACGGAGGGUGCAAGCGUUAUCCGGAUUCACUGGGUUUAAAGGGUGCGUAGGCGGGUAAGUAAGUCCGUGGUGAAAUCUCUGAGCUUAACUCAGAAACUGCCGUGGAUACUAUUUGCCUUGAAUAUUGUGGAGGUGAGCGGAAUAUGUCAUGUAGCGGUGAAAUGCUUAGAUAUGACAUAGAACACCAAUUGCGAAGGCAGCUCACUACACAAUCAUUGACGCUGAGGCACGAAAGCGUGGGGAGUCAAACAGGA
rnacentral:rRNA from 1 species